rnacentral:rRNA from 1 species
UGCCAGCAGCCGCGGUAAUACGGAGGGUCCAAGCGUUAUCCGGAAUCAUUGGGUUUAAAGGGUUCGCAGGCGGUUUAAUAAGUCAGUGGUGAAAUCUCGGGGCUCAACCUCGAAACUGCCAUUGAUACUGUUAGACUUGAAUACAGUUGGAGUAGGCGGAAUGUGUAGUGUAGCGGUGAAAUGCUUAGAUAUUACACAGAACACCGAUAGCGAAGGCAGCUUACUAAACUGUUAUUGACGCUCAUGAACGAAAGCGUGGGGAGCGAACAGGAUUAGAUA